AUGUCCCUAUGUUUGGGAAGAACAAGAUGUUUCUUCAGAACAGAGCAACUUAACUUCACUGAUAUGUUUAUUUACUCAUUCAACAGAAUUCAUUAAGCACUGCCCUGUUACAGAAACUGUGCUUGCGUAUGGCAAAUAGCCUCUCCAGAGCAAAAGAGCGAGCAUAAUUUCCAGCUUUGCCCAGCUGGAGAGGAGCCCUCUAGUUACAGGAGUGUCCAGUGAUGGCUCUUCUUGGGCCUGGAGUUCCUCCUUGAGCUAACUUGCCUCCCACGCGCAACGUCUACACGUAAUUCCAGUUACUGUUCCGUGAUAGGCCCCUGGGUUCUCCUGUACUCCCGCACUUCCGGUUCCCGUCUAUCUGUCAAAAUAGCUCUGCUUUCAACUGGACCUCCUUCACGUAGAGGAUCUUCCUGCCUUUUCAUUGUCUUUCUGUGACAAAGUCACCGAAACACAUGCCUCAUUCUCUUUGGGAAUUUACUUUUUGGAGGGAAUUUUCCUUCUGUAUCAGUUGGAUCUAAGUUACUGUCCUGGCCCUUCUGUGUGGCUGCAAUUUAGGAAUCCAGGGUUCCUGGCCUUCAUCAAUGCCUCUGAGGUUCCCCAUGUGGGCCUGCAACAUCUGGGAAACUGCCACCUCCCAGCAGGCACAGCGUGCGGAUGGGACUCUGACACACCGGAAGCCAAGCUGUCUGACGCCAGGGGCUCUUCAGAGUAAACUGUGAGCGAAUUCAAGGCAGGUACGAUGUCACGUUCUUUGAAUCUUCAGCACCAUCGGCAGUGCCCCCAAAUAUGGGAUGGAAAUCUAGCCAACUCCUUGCUCUCCAGAUGGUUUAUAAAGAUUUGGAACAUUCCAUAAAUGGAAAAACUGACCAGCUAUAGAGAAGCCUCCUGCAAUCCUCAUCUAAUUUUACAGAAAAGAAGCCUCCCUUUUGACAUUUUUUCUUUGUUUUACACCUUCUAGGGCCAUCUUUAUUUCCCUGUAGUGUUUUUCAAUCCACAGUAGAGUUGUUUCUUUUUCUUUGUGUUUUACUUUGUUAUUUUGGAAAUGGUAAACUUUCAAUUUAGAAGAGUAUAGCAAAUCUCUGUGUACCCGCCACUCACUUGAGAAUGAUGAGCUCAUGGCCAGUCUGGUUUCUUCUGGACUCCUACCUACUUUUCUCAACCCCUCUGGAUAGCCUGUCAUUUCAUCUAUAAAUAUUUCAGUACAUACCUCUAAAAGACAAGCAUUCUGUCCUAAUCGAUACCACAGUAGUAACUAGCCCCCAUUAAAGUCAAAUCUUCAUUCAGUGUUUA